AUUGAACGCUGGCGGCAGGCCUAACACAUGCAAGUCGAACGAGUGGCGGACGGGUGAGUAAUGUCUGGGAAACUGCCUGAGGGAGGGGGAUAACUACUGGAAACGGUAGCUAAUACCGCAUACCAUCGGAUGUGCCCAGGUGGGAUUCGCUAGUAGGUGGGGUAACGGCUCACCUAGGCGACGCUCCCUAGCUGGUCUGAGAGGAUGACCGGCCAAACUGGAACUGAGACACGGGCCAGACUCCUACGGGAGGAAGCAGUGGGGAAGAUUGCACAAGGGGCGCAAGCCUGAUGCAGCCAUGCCGCGUGUAUGAAGAAGGCCUUCGGGUUGUAAAGGACUUUCAGCGGGGAGGCGUUACCCGCAGAAGAAGCACCGGCUAACUCCGUGCCAGCCGCCGCGGUAAUAC
rnacentral:rRNA from 1 species